rnacentral:rRNA from 1 species
GCCCCGUGACCCAAAAAGUUUAACGGCCGCGGUAUUUUGACCGUGCGAAGGUAGCGUAAUCACUUGUCUUUUAAAUGAAGACCGGUAUGAAUGGCAACACGAGGGCUCAACUGUCUCCCGCCUCCAGUCGAUGAAAUUGAUCUGCCCGUGCAGAAGCGGGCAUAGAACCAUAAGACGAGAAGACCCUGUGGAGCUUAAGACGUAUGGCCACCCAUGCCGAGCUGCCCCACAACAAAAGAGCAAACAAGCCUAAUGGUACUUGGCCACGAUGUCUUCGGUUGGGGCGACCGCGGAGGAAAACCUAGCCUCCAUGUGGACCGGGGGGACUAUUACUACCCCUAAAGCCAAGAGACACACCUCUAAGCAACAGAACAUCUGACCAAAAAUGAUCCGGGCCAAAGCCCGAUCAACGAACCAAGUUACCCCAGGGAUAACAGCGCAAUCCUUUCCAAGAGUCCCUAUCGACGAAAGGGUUUACGACCUCGAUGUUGGAUCAGGACAUCCUAAUGGUGCAGCCGCUAUUAAGGGUUCGUUUGUUCAACG